rnacentral:rRNA from 1 species
UACGUAGGGGGCAAGCGUUGUCCGGAUUUAUUGGGCGUAAAGAGCUCGUAGGCGGUUUGGUAAGUCAGGUGUGAAAUCUCCACGCUCAACGUGGAGGGGCCACCUGAUACUGCCAUGACUGGAGUCCGGUAGAGGAGUGUGGAAUUCCCGGUGUAGCGGUGAAAUGCGCAGAUAUCAGGAGGAACACCGGUGGCGAAGGCGGGUCUCUGGGCCGUAACUGACGCUGAGGAGCGAAAGCGUGGGGAGCGAACAGG